CUCGUGCUUUAAGGGUGGCCGAUGUCUGAUUAGCUAGUUGGUGGGGUAAAGGCUUACCAAGGCGACGAUCAGUAGCUGGUCUGAGAGGACGAUCAGCCACACUGGGACUGAGACACGGCCCAGACUCCUACGGGAGGCAGCAGUGGGGAAUUUUGGACAAUGGGCGAAAGCCUGAUCCAGCCAUGCCGCGUGAGUGAAGAAGGCCUUCGGGUUGUAAAGCUCUUUCGGUCGGAAAGAAAUAUCUAUAGAAAAUAUCUAUAGAGGAUGACGGUACCGACAUAAGAAGCACCGGCUAACUACGUGCCAGCAGCCGCGGUAAUACGUAGGGUGCAAGCGUUAAUCGGAAUUAUUGGGCGUAAAGGGUGCGCAGGCGGUAUUGUAAGUCAGAUGUGAAAGCCCCGGGCUUAACCUGGGAAUUGCGUUUGAAACUGCAAUGCUAGAGUGUGGUAGAGGGGAGUGGAAUUCCAUGUGUAGCAGUGAAAUGCGUAGAGAUGUGGAAGAACACCAAUGGCGAUGGCAGCUCUCUGGAUUAACACUGACGCUCAUGCACGAAAGCGUGGGGAGCAAACAAGAUUAGAUACCCUGGUAGUCCACGCCCUAAACUAUGUCAACUAGUUGUCGGAUCUGUUUAAGGAUUUGGUAACGAAGCUAACGCAUGAAGUUGACCGCCUGGGAAGUACGGUCGCAAGAUUAAAACUCAAAGGAAUUGACGGGGACCCGCACAAGCGGUGGAUUAUGUGGAUUAAUU
rnacentral:rRNA from 1 species